rnacentral:tRNA from 1 species
GGGUGUAUAGCUCAUUGGUAGAGCGCAUGCUUAAUUAGCGUGCACAAGGUCCUAAGUUCAAUCCCUAGUACCUUCA